rnacentral:rRNA from 1 species
UACAGAGGUGGCAAGCGUUGUCCGGAAUUAUUGGGCGUAAAGAGCUCGUAGGCGGUCUGUCGCGUCGGAUGUGAAAAUCCAGGGCUUAACCCUGGACCUGCAUUCGAUACGGGCAGACUAGAGUUCGGUAGGGGAGACUGGAAUUCCUGGUGUAGCGGUGAAAUGCGCAGAUAUCAGGAGGAACACCGGUGGCGAAGGCGGGUCUCUGGGCCGAUACUGACGCUGAGGAGCGAAAGCGUGGGGAGCGAACAGG